UCAACUUUCCAUCUUUCUUUUUGUCCCUCCAAAAGUUUCCAGUAGAGUUUAAUAUGCCCUCCAAUUAUUAUAAUAUACUUUAAAAUUAAAAAGUUAAAAGAGAAACCCUAUUCCCUCUAUAGUCGAAUGCCUGAAUAUCGAUCGCACCUCUGCCAUUUUUAUGACAGCUUGUCUCCAUUCUCACAACCCACAUGUAUAUCGAUCUGCGCAUUUGCCAUAUUCAUCUUACUGUUUCCUUAUUCCCAUAGCUUUGCCCUAUUCUCCAUCUUCACGUCGAAAUUAUCUAUUUCAGAUUCAAAUGUUUUGACAGAAUUAAUAGUAUCCUACACUUUGAGGUCUUCAUCGGAUAAACAUUCUACUUUCCAGAUUUGGUUGGUAUAGCUGCGUAUUGGCAUUGGUAAGGACUAGUCGAAUGCAAUUUCAUCAUAUGCAUUAGCUUACCCCUUACUGAAAUUUCAGUAUUGUUCACAGUAGCUGAAGUGUUGGAAACUGAAACAUCUUUCUGCUCAUUGGUCCUAACAUUCAAAUAACUGGUUAUGGACUAAUUUCUUUUACCACGUCUAGCUGCUGCUCUUCGUCCUUGUAACUUCUGUUGACUGGAUCUCUAUUAUGCACUUUUUUUACUCAAUAUGUCUGCUUCUCCUCAUCCUUACUACUAAGGUGACUAUUUUUAGAAGAAUCUUAGUGGAACCAGUCCUUAGUUUUAUCACAAAGUCAUUGGCAUUGUCUUUGGAUCUCUGAUUUUUUUAUGAGAUUAUAUAAUUCCUAUCUCGUGAUGUUUUUAUCAA